rnacentral:rRNA from 1 species
UACAGAGGUCCCAAGCGUUGUUCGGAUUCACUGGGCGUAAAGGGUGCGUAGGCGGUCGGGUAAGUCUGAUGUGAAAUCUCACAGCUUAACUGUGAAACUGCAUUGGAUACUAUUCGGCUUGAGAGUUGGAGGGGGGACUGGAAUUCUUGGUGUAGCAGUGAAAUGCGUAGAUAUCAAGAGGAACACCAGUGGCGAAGGCGAGUCCCUGGACAACUCCUGACACUGAGGCACGAAAGCUAGGGGAGCAAACAGG